rnacentral:rRNA from 1 species
UGGGGAAUUUUGGACAAUGGGGGAAANCCUGAUCCAGCCAUUCCGUGUGCAGGAUGAAGGCCCUCGGGUUGUAAAAUGCUUUUGUACAGAAAGAAAAGGUCUCUAUUAAUACUNGGAGCUCAUGACGGUACCGUAAGAAUAAGCACCGGCUAACUACGUGCCAGCAGCCGCGGUAAUACGUAGGGUGCAAGCGUUAAUCGGAAUUACUGGGCGUAAAGCGUGCGCAGGCGGUUAUAUAAGNCAGAUGUGAAAUCCCCGGGCUCAACCUGGGAACUGCAUUUGAGACUGUAUAGCUAGAGUGCGGCAGAGGGGGAUGGAAUUCCGCGUGUAGCAGUGAAAUGCGUAGAUAUGCGGAGGAACACCGAUGGCGAAGGCAAUCCCCUGGGCCUGCACUGACGCUCAUGCACGAAAGCGUGGGGAGCAAACAGGAUUAGAUACCCUGGUAGUCCACGCCCUAAACGAUGUCAACUGGUUGUUGGGUNUUCACGACCUCAGUAACGAAGCUAACGCGUGAAGU